AGAACCUAAGUGUCUGUCGUACGAACACCAUCGCUUUUGCACGGUUUGUUUGUUUUUUGCCCCACCGUAGUGAAAAGGACGGGAUUUGUGAAGCCUGGGGGCGUGCUGAGGCUGGCAGGAGAGGAUGAGGGGAUGCACAGCAGGGGUACCCAGCCCUUAGGAUUUAAGCAGAAAGACCACUCCUGCAAAUCCUCCAAAGGCCACAUGUGCACAGCUGCUUCAGAAUGCUCUGUGGUUUACAUGCAGGGCAACUGGGGAUCAAAUUCGCUUGGAUAUUGGAAGCAGGAAAUGACUGGAUGCAGGACAUGCUUGAAAAGGAGAGGCAGCCCCCAGCCCCCUGGUCUUUCUUCUUCCUGCCUUUGCUUGCUCAUUUGAAGUUGUGUUUUGAAUUAUGGAAACUGCAGGUUCGAGAGGUUAGUGAUAGUUGUUGUUUAUG
rnacentral:lncRNA from 1 species